GCUCUGAACCUCUACUACUGCUGCUUGC
rnacentral:sRNA from 1 species